GUGUAACCAGGGUGUAGUGAUGUAGUAAAUUAAUGUCAUCAGGUGUGGAGGUGUAACCAGGGUGUAGUGAUGUAGUAAAUUAAUGUCACCAGGUGUGGAGGUGUAACCAGGGUGUAGUGAUGUAGUAAAUUAAUGUCACCAGGUGUGGAGGUGUAACCAGGGUGUAGUGAUGUAGUAAAUUAAUGUCACCAGGUGUGGAGGUGUAACCAGGGUGUAGUGAUGUAGUAAAUUAAUGUCACCAGGUGUGGAGGUAUAACCAGGGUGUAGUGAUGUAGUAAAUUAAUGUGACCAGGUGUGGAGGUGUAACCAGGGUGUAGUGAUGUAGUAAAUUAAUGUCACCAGGUGUGGAGGUGUAACCAGGGUGUAGUGCUGCUAGAGGUUUAAUUAAUAAAAUACUAUGUGAUCUUAACUCACCUGUCCAUCGUCUGCUGUGUCCCUUGUGUCAGAGGUGGAUUUGGAGGCCUUCCUGUUUUACACGUCAACAAAUGAAUGAAUGAAUGAAUGAAUAAUCAAGUUAAUAAAUUAAAAUGAUAAUGUGAAAUGACGGUCUUAGAAAGAUUCUCACCUGAACCACAUGAAGACAGAGAGACGGAGUAUGAUAAUCUGUGAUUCCUUCAGCUGAAGUCAUAACUGAGGUCUGUUUCUCUAAAGGUUCAACAAAAAGGUGGAUGAUAUGAAUACACAUGUUAUCAUAUAGUGGAGCUUGAAAUGAAAUAUCCUUGUAUUUGAAUCUCACAUUUUUUACCUGUACUUGUUGACUUUCUCUCAGAUAUGUGAUUCUCAGGGUGGAGUGACUCACUCUAUCCGAUAGUACUCUGAAUGACCACCAUUCCCAGGUUUCACACCAGACCAUCUAUAGGACCAUGAUGCUUUUAUGACUGUAUGACCUCUGGGAUAUGUGUUAGAACAGGACAGGUC
rnacentral:lncRNA from 1 species